rnacentral:rRNA from 1 species
UGAGGAAGAUAAUGACGGUACUCAACAAGGAAGUGACGGCUAACUACGUGCCAGCAGCCGCGGUAAAACGUAGGUCACAAGCGUUGUCCGGAAUUACUGGGUGUAAAGGGAGCGCAGGCGGGAAGACAAGUUGGAAGUGAAAUCCAUGGGCUCAACCCAUGAACUGCUUUCAAAACUGUUUUUCUUGAGUAGUGCAGAGGUAGGCGGAAUUCCCGGUGUAGCGGUGGAAUGCGUAGAUAUCGGGAGGAACACCAGUGGCGAAGGCGGCCUACUGGGCACCAACUGACGCUGAGGCUCGAAAGUGUGGGUAGCAAACAGGAUUAGAUACCCUGGUAGUCCACACUGUAAACGAUGAUUACUAGGUGUUGGAGGAUUGACCCCUUCAGUGCCGCAGUUAACACAAUAAGUAAUCCACCUGGGGAGUACGACCGCAAGGUUGAAACUCAAAGGAAUUGACGGGGGCCCGCACAAGCAGUGGAGUAUGUGGUUUAAUUCGACGCAACGCGAAGAACCUUACCAAGUCUUGACAUCCUGCGACGAUGCUGGAAACAGUAUUUUYCUUCGGAACGCAGAGACAGGUGGUGCAUGGUUGUCGUCAGCUCGUGUCGUGAGAUGUUGGGUUAAGUCCCGCAACGAGCGCAACCCUUAUGGUCAGUUACUACGCAAGAGGACUCUGGCCGGACUGGGUUUGACAAA